rnacentral:lncRNA from 1 species
UCAAACGGCAUGAUGUAUCAGUAUGAAGGCAAGUUUUAGCACAUGUAAUAGAACAACCGAUUAUCUGGCCGGUUCAAGAGUAAGAAGAAACAUUCAAUAUGUGCCAGAAGAGUAGCAUCAUCAAGUUAAACAUGGGCAUGAGACUAUCGAAGUUAACCCGUGCCAGAAGCAAGGCAGGAUCCACUACAGUCAUACAAAUAGAAAAACUAAUUAGCUAACAAUGGCAAUGGAGGCGAUAAAACUACGAAGCCAUAGUUAGGCAUACAAUAGAUAGCUUGGUUUGGUUGCCUCCAUGAGUGCCAUUCCAUAUGAACUUGAUGUGAAUAGUUUGUGAGAUAGAUGACCACAAAAUUAUUUUUGUAUAGGCAAUGCACUUGAGAUUUGCUUUUAAAGCAUAUGGAGAGUGAGCGAUGGUUUCCCCCUUCUAAUCUUGGAAGACGAAGACCCAGAUCUGUUAUUCUUUGAUCCCUGCCGCCUCGACAAAAUUUUUAAGACCAAGAGGAUUGUUGUCAGCUUGGACCUAGCAAGAUAUGUCAUAGUAAUCAUUAAGCAAUCACAUUGGUAAGCAACACUCGAGAGCACAGUAGAACCAAAUAUAUACAUGUUGACCAUAUCUUAAUAAUGAUAGAUCCAUUUUUCUGAAAAUAUAAACAACCAAGCUUCCUUGUAUACAGUGACUCUACCGGCAGUUUGGUUUAUUUGCCUGUGUGUGUGUUGACUUGCUUAAGAAGUCAUAGAUACAAAUAGAAGCAUAAUAAGUGGUUUUAGAAAAUAUAUCAAGUUCUAAAGAUAAAUAAAACUACUUUCAGUAUAUAUAGUAGAUGCCAUUGCAGAUAACACUCCAAUACUAACAUUAGAAAAGGUAAUCUGGUUUUGGUCACCCAUGAAAAAAUUAGAUAAACACCAGAUGGCAAACAAAAUACAUGUUAAGCCUCCAUCCUUGUGAUUAUUGUUUUUCUUGUUCCAGAGCUCCUGUAGAAAUGAUUUACAUGGUGAUCCGGAAAAAGUUGAAGCAAGCAUAUAAAUAGUGACCCUCCUAGUGAGUGAACAAAAUGUAAAAAAACUCAUUUUCAUUUAGUGCAAACUAUGAUUUAAUCUUUCUUCUUUUUCCAACAAAAAUGUUAAUAUUCAGAAGGUAGUUGGAGACAGGGCUACACCUUAUGAAGGUUUUAAUCUUACGGUUCAAUGAAUUGCAUAGGCAGAGCACACAGUUGAUGGAUUCAAACUAUUUUUAAGAGAUGAUGUGGCAAGGCUAAGAAGAUGAAAAUAAUUAAGAAGAAAAGUUCAUGGUCAACAACUUACGAAGAUUUAACUGCGUAGUGCCUCAUGGCAGUCAUCAACCUUUGAGCCGUAGAACUGUAAGAUCAAACUGAGACUCAAGCCUGCAUAACCAUAGGAAGAAAAGGAUCAUCAACAAAGAGGACAAAGUGAAUCAGGAACCAGUUCCUGGUUCCUCUAAAAAAUCAUUCUAAAUGACAAACUGUGAGAAGAAAAAAGAACUGGUCUAAUGACAUAGAUGCGUUAACCGGCAAACACUACCAAGUCAGAUCAAAUACUCAGCUUAUUUCUGUCCCUUUUCAAUAUUAAGAACGAUUAUUAAGUAACCAGGUACAUAACAAAAACAACUAAUGCCUACAUAGUAGCUCAUCUCUCUUAAUACAUCUACACUGAUUUCGAUGUACAAUUUAGGACCAAUGGAAAACCAGAAAAACACAAAAAAAAACUCACACAAUAAAGCUAAAACUAAAUAUUGCACGCCGUCGAGACCUAUCUGGCGUGCAACAUCUGUCACUACCGAAGGACAUCGGCGUCAAUCACAGCGGUAGGGCCAUCAGCAUAGCCAGCAGGAAUUGCAUGCCAAACCACGGUCGCAGCUAUGCAAUGGGCUACAGAUUUAUAGGCCGAACCAAGUACGUGCAUAAGUCGGAAACAAUGGGUUACAGAUUUACCAUCAAAUAGUUGCUCGCUUAUAAGGGUGUAAGUGGAUGGACUCAUUUAAUAGCAGUCACCAUGUAUAUCACAUUAUCAUCUAAUCAAGAACAGUUUUUGACAAAUCGGAGAUUUUGAGUAAUGUCUGAACAAUGGCAUAAAAAGAAAUCUGAAUCACAAAUAUGCACAAUAUGACAGUCGAUGGCCAACAUUCAGACAAAAUCCAAUAUUUGAGAUUAAUCUAAAAUAUUUAAUACCAUAGGCAGAAUAUGAUGUUAAAUGGCACUGACCACACCAUGAACUAUUACAACUACUGAUAAACAUAACCCAAACAGGAACAGUUGAAGCUAGCUCACCAUGGGAAAAAUUCAGUUGAUUUACUCGGUUAUAAAGUUAAAUAGGUUACCUCAAGUAACGGUGCUGGACGAUACAUAUCAUCAACUCCUGCAAUUACCUAUCAAACAUUCCAUAGAAAUAAACAUCACUGGAUGCCAAUGCAUACCACUGCUUGAUGAAAUAAUAUAUAAGUAAUACAAAACUACAAUUCAGUACAUUAUUUAGUUUUUGCCAGAAAUGGGAAUUAAAAUAAAUCAAAAGAGAGACUAUACUUUCAUGUGAGAAGAACAUCUUGAGUUUAUAGCUUUCAGGUUUGUAGUAACAAACAGGACAACUAUGAACUGAAGAUACACAUCGAUACUUCUCUAGGUUAUCUCACCAUAAGUCAACAUAAUUGCAAGGUCAAAUGGAAAGAGGCCGGAAUACAACUACUUCAAUAGUGCAGUAACCAUGUAAAGAAAAAGAUACAUAACCGCAAUAGAAGAAAUGCUAGAUGAGUAAUUUGUUGACGCCAAAAUAAGAUUAUUAGAUACAUAUCCGUAAUUAUCAAAAAACAUUGAAAGAAAUCAUCUAGUAUAAGCUGGAAGACAUGGUACAUCAAAUCUAAAGGAGAAGCACCCUAGAUAAUAUCCACUGAUUUUGAUAAUCAACAACAUCGAUAUAAAUCAGAACAAUCUUCAACCAUAGUAUCCUAUAUAGCACCCCAAAAAAAUCAGAACAACAGGUAAGAAGAACAAGCUAACUGAGCAACAAAUGAAACAAAAGGGGCCCCAGAAUUAUAUACACUGCAUUAUUCAUCAUUGACAGAGUUUUGUUAGUCAGUUCUAUUUUCUUUUGGAGUAUAAAGGAACUAACAAAUAUAAUAUAAGAGCAGUUCUUUUUUCUUUGAUAAUAUAAGAGAGUAUAGGAAUCACAGAGCUUGUUUAAGAUAUUUUGUCACAUUAAGUAGUUCAUAUAAGCCUAAUCCAGAACUAAACAGAGAAAGAUAGAGAGUGAAGAGAAAUAAAGUAGGUGCAGAAAUAAUUUAAAUGUAAAUACAGAAAUAAAGUAGAAAUAGAAGUAGAAGCAGAAAUAAACUUUAGAUGUAGCAAUCAAACUAAGUAACUUAUAUGCCGGACCAGCUCACCUUGCCUCAUGUUGAGUCUCAAGGAGGGUGUCAAGGAGGCGAGGCAUCCCAAUCGCAACAAGGCGAAUCAGAGGCAACCCAUCUUAACUCGACGUCCUGGUCCUCCUUCAGGCAACCGUCAACGGAGUGAGCACAAAGUAAAAAAAGUAACAUGAACAAACCAAUAAAUGUACCUUUGAUGAGAAUGCCCU